GGACUGUACAGGCUGUAAUGAAAUAAAAUCUUUGAAUAUUAAGACAUCUUGAAAAUUAUUAGACUGUGUUCCCACAUUUAAAAGAACGAUUCGUAAUUUCAAUCAAACUGUUCAAUUUUGAAUAUAGCACUAAAACGAAUCAUAUGAUUAUAGGAGAAGCUUUAAUGAAUUUACUACAAUCUAGUUCUGUCGGUCAAUCAGGGCUCUCGAUGGAAAAGCGUCAAGCUUCUAUGUCAUAUACCUACGGCAUUUCACAAUAUAUCACAUAGGUAUAAGCUUAUCGCAAUCAAGUACUCGUACUUAUACUUUCAAUAUUGGCAUUCGCGCGCAACUACGCGAGUAUUUGGCGAAUAUUUACCCGACUGCAAAGGAAGGGUUAUGUUUUUCGCUCGUCUCAUAUCUCCAGAACCGCUCAACGGAUUUACAUAAGUAAGGUAUCGUUAGAUUCGUCUUAGCAGCCCAAAUGUUCUUAGUUAUGUGACGUUAAAAAAAUCAAACAUGGCGGCUGUGCGAAGCCAUUGUAUUUGAUAUUGUUUUGAUUUAUUUCGCUGGCUUUGUGUAAGACAGUAUGAGUAUAAGUGUAGUAAGUAAUGACAGUAUGAGUGAUGCCUUUUAAAGUGGCCUG
rnacentral:misc_RNA from 1 species